GAUGAACGCUGGCGGCGUGCCUAAUACAUGCAAGUCGAGCGAACAGACGAGGAGCUUGCUCCUCUGACGUUAGCGGCGGACGGGUGAGUAACACGUGGAUAACCUACCUAUAAGACUGGGAUAACUUCGGGAAACCGGAGCUAAUACCGGAUAACAUGUUGAACCGCAUGGUUCAACAGUGAAAGACGGUUUUGCUGUCACUUAUAGAUGGAUCCGCGUCGCAUUAGCUAGUUGGUAAGGUAACGGCUUACCAAGGCAACGAUGCGUAGCCGACCUGAGAGGGUGAUCGGCCACACUGGAACUGAGACACGGUCCAGACUCCUACGGGAGGCAGCAGUGGGGAAUCUUCCGCAAUGGGCGAAAGCCUGACGGAGCAACGCCGCGUGAGUGAAGAAGGUCUUCGGAUCGUAAAACUCUGUUAUUAGGGAAGAACAAAUGUGUAAGUAACUAUGCACGUCUUGACGGUACCUAAUCAGAAAGCCACGGCUAACUACGUG
rnacentral:rRNA from 1 species